rnacentral:rRNA from 1 species
UACGGAGGUCCCAAGCGUUGUUCGGAAUUACUGGGCGUAAAGGGAGCGCAGGCGGACUGGUCAGUCUGAAGUGGAAAUCCGGGGCUCAACCUCGGACUUGCUUCGGAUACUGCCAGUCUUGAGUUCGUGAGAGGAAGAUGGAAUUCAGGGUGUAGCGGUGAAAUGCUCAGAUAUCCUGAGGAACACCGGUGGCGAAAGCGGUCUUCUGGCGCGAAACUGACGCUGAGGCUCGAAAGCGUGGGGAGCAAACGGG